rnacentral:rRNA from 1 species
CGUAACCGCCUGGCGGCGUGCUUAACACAUGCAAGUCGAACGGUGAAGCGGGUGCUUGCACUCGUGGAGCAGUGGCGAACGGGUGAGUAACACGUGAGUAACCUGCCCAUCACUCUGGGAUAAGCGCUGGAAACGGCGUCUAAUACUGGAUACGACCAACCCUUGCAUGGGGUGUUGGUGGAAAGAUUUAUCGGUGGUGGAUGGACUCGCGUCCUAUCAGCUUGUUGGUGGGGUAAUGGCCUACCAAGGCGACGACGGGUAGCCGGCCUGAGAGGGCGACCGGCCACACUGGGACUGAGACACGGCCCAGACUCCUACGGGAGGCAGCAGUGGGGAAUAUUGCACAAUGGGCGAAAGCCUGAUGCAGCGACGCCGCGUGAGGGAUGACGGCCUUCGGGUUGUAAACCUCUUUCAGCAGGGAAGAAGCUUUUGUGACGGUACCUGCAGAAGAAGCACCGGCUAACUACGUGCCAGCAGCCGCGGUAAUACGUAGGGUGCGAGCGUUGUCCGGAAUUAUUGGGCGUAAAGAGCUUGUAGGCGGUUUGUCGCGUCUGCUGUGAAAAUCUGGGGCUUAACCCUGGACGUGCAGUGGGUACGGGCAGACUAGAGUGUGGUAGGGGAGACUGGAAUUCCUGGUGUAGCGGUGGAAUGCGCAGAUAUCAGGAGGAACACCGAUGGCGAAGGCAGGUCUCUGGGCCAUUACUGACGCUGAGAAGCGAAAGCAUGGGGAGCGAACAGGAUUAGAUACCCUGGUAGUCCAUGCCGUAAACGUUGGGCGCUAGGCGUGGGUCUCAUUCCACGAGAUCCGUGUCGAAGCUAACGCAUUAAGCGCCCCGCCUGGGGAGUACGGCCGCAAGGCUAAAACUCAAAGGAAUUGACGGGGGCCCGCACAAGCGGCGGAGCAUGCUGAUUAAUUCGAUGCAACGCGAAGAACCUUACCAAGGCUUGACAUGCACCGGACAGUCCCAGAGAUGGGAUCUUCUUCGGACUGGUGCACAGGUGGUGCAUGGUUGUCGUCAGCUCGUGUCGUGAGAUGUUGGGUUAAGUCCCGCAACGAGCGCAACCCUCGUUCUAUGUUGCCAGCACGUGAUGGUGGGGACUCAUAGGAGACUGCCGGGGUCAACUCGGAGGAAAGGUGGGGAUGACGUCAAAUCAUCAUGCCCCUUAUGUCUUGGGCUUCAAGCAUGCUACAAUGGCCCGGUACAGAGGGUUGCGAUGCCGUGAGGUGGAGCGAAUCCCAAAAAACCGGUCUCAGUUCGGAUUGGGGUCUGCAACUCGACCCCAUGAAGUCGGAGUCGCUAGUAAUCGCAGAUCAGCAACGCUGCGGUGAAUACGUUCCCGGGCCUUGUACACACCGCCCGUCAAGUCACGAAAGUCGGUAACACCCGAAGCCGGUGGCCUAACCCUUGUGGGAGGAGCCGUCUAAGGUGGGACCGGUGACUGGGAUGUU